UACGGAAGGCAGCAGGGGGAAGUAUUGCACAAUGGGCGGCAAGCCUGAUGCAGCCAUGCCGCGUGUAUGAAGAAGGCCUUCGGGUUGUAAAGUACUUUCAGUCGUGAGGAAGGUGUUAAGGUUAAUAACCUUAGCAAUUGACGUUAGCGACAGAAGAAGCACCGGCUAACUCCGUGCCAGCAGCCGCGGUAAUACGGAGGGUGCGAGCGUUAAUCGGAAUUACUGGGCGUAAAGGGCACGCAGGCGGUUAAUUAAGUUGGAUGUGAAAUCCCCGGGCUUAACCUGGGAAUGGCAUUCAAGACUGGUUAGCUAGAGUCUUGUAGAGGGGGUAGAAUUCCAUGUGUAGCGGUGAAAUGCGUAGAGAUGUGGAGGAAUACCGGUGGCGAAGGCGGCCCCCUGGACAAAGACUGACGCUCAUGUGCGAAAGCGUGGGGAGCAAACAGGG
rnacentral:rRNA from 1 species